AUAACUAUUUGCAUAUUUGAUCCGUCAUAGUUGAUUUUGUAAAAUCUUUUAUUUGAGAAAGCAUUGCUAAGAUUUGUGUAAAGAGAAAUUGGAUUAAGCUUCAUGUUUACGUUCACGUUAAUGUCGUAAAUAUACAGACACAAUAUCUUGCCGAAAAAUAAAUUAAAAAAGUCAAAGAAAAAUAAAAAUCUAACAUAAGUAUAUAUGCAAACAACAAAAC
rnacentral:sRNA from 1 species